GCCCCAGUGGCACAACGGUUAAGCAUUCAGCUGCUAACUGAAAUGUUGGUGGUUCGAACCCACCCAGUGACU
rnacentral:tRNA from 1 species